GUGGUCGCUGCUUCUUCCGCUCUGGACGCUAAAGUGGAGAGUCGUGUGUGAGAUUAGUGGAGAGUUUAAACUCGGUCUUAUUAUUAUGGAUCUGCUGUUAUAGACAAAAACCUGAUAUGAACUGAUUUAAAAUGUGGACAUAUUUCACCACCAGCUGCAAUAUGACUGUAUGAAGAACAGCGAAGGAUUGUAUUAGUGUGAAUCUGUAGGAGGAGAUAAAGAGAU